GAGGCCUGGGCUGAGCUGCUGACGCAGGAGGGGGAGACACCCCCAUCCCCACCCGGGCUGCAACCUGGCUCCUUAAUUGGUUUGAAAAAUGGCAGCUGGAUCCCAGCAGCUGCUGCUCUCGGUCUGGCUCAGGAGCAGGGAGGAGGAUGACAGCUUGGCUGGCCAGAGCCCUCGGGUUACUCUCGCAUCGCCUUUCUGUUCCCUCCCCCUCGAGUUUGUUUCUGGGACCCCCUCCCCCAAACCUUCCGCAAAGCCUGGUCACGUGACAGAGCCUCGUCUCAUCCUCCCUGCUGACAUUUCUGGAGGCAGCACUCCCUGCCUGUGCCUGGGUUGGGGGGGGGUUCCUCAGGGAGAGACGCCUCUUCCUGCCCCCACCCCGUGCCCCCCCAGGCGGCCCUCUUCCACUGUUCCCUCUGAUGGAAAGCGUGUGUCUUACUUUCUCCGGAGCAUUUGUCAGUCUGUUCUUUAAGGGCUCCCUUUCUGCCUCGGUGUUUGUUGAGUAUGCUGAUGGCCAGGCUGACGCCAGGCGUCUUGCGGGAGGAAGCAGGGACCCUGGGGCCACUCACUGCGGGAGCAACUUCCUGACUCCGGCUGCACGAAGUAAGAGCUGGGCUUGCCUUAGCCUGGGUUUCCUCGUCUGUGAAGUGAAGAAGGUUGGAUUUAAUCUGUUUGUUCUCAAACUCCUUUUUUCUUCCAGCGUUUUUUUUUCCAAGCAAAAACUGGCAGGAAACACACCCUACAGAGCCCUGUCCACUCAGCUUCACACCUCCAUCCCCAGCUGACCCCCUCUCCCUGAGGGCUCUGCAGAGCACAGCUCAGAAAUCACCAGAUUGGACUCUCCUCGAGGCUCCUUUCAGCUCAAACAGUCUGGGGUCUUCUGGCUGGGCUUUUCAGGAGGGACCCCAGGAGAGGAGAGAGGCUCUACCCUGGGACAGCCUCACCCCUCCAGGUUGUCUGAGGGCCUGGGGCAGAGCGUUAGGGACAAAUAGACGCACCAGUGGUGACUUGGUGGCCCAGAACCUGUAACCUCACUUUACCUAAAAUUGAGUUGAGAAAACAGAUGGGCUUUUGCAGCCACACCGGCCCACGCUGGGCCAUGCAGUCAAAGAGCUAGGCCGUGUUGAGGGCUUCGCAUUUUUUUCUCCAGUGGGAUAGAAAGUUAUUAAAAGAUUGCAAAUGCAUGAUCUGGUUUACACACUUAAAAGAUUUACGUGUUUAAGAGACUCUAGCAUUAGGUUGGAGAGUGGAUUGAGCAGAUAAGCCUGAUGGCCGGGAAAACUACAAAUUUCUUAGUUUAUUCACUAGUUUAUGUAUUGAGAGGUGACAGGAUACCCAGAAGUGAAACCUUGUGUUCACACAAAAACCUGCUCAGGAAUGUCCACAGCAGCACUCUUCAUAGCAGCCAAAAAGUGGAAACAACACGAAUGUCCACCAACAGACCAAUGGAUAUAGGAAAUAUGGGACAAUCCAUGUGGUAAAAAGUAAUCCUUAGAAACUGCAGUUAUUAGAAUCGGGAGACCAGCAGGGGGAGCUCUCACCCAGCCCAGCCCAACAGGAAGAAGAAAGCCUUGUCUUCUUUUCCGCAAGGACUCAGCCAAUGAAAAGCCAAGGGCUGUCUGCUGAGCCCGCCCACCGUCCUCUCCCCUCUAUAAAAAGCUUCUCCUGGCCUAGGGGCCGGGACUUGCCCGUGGCCCGCAGUGACCGAGAGUCUCUGCGGAGAAGCACCUGGCAGUCUUUUUGCUUUCGGUCAACGUGUUGGUGGCCCAUCCGGGGACCAGAGAAGACCCCCGACGGCUCCGGGCUGGUGAGCGAACAGGCGGCACCCACACUGAGCUCAUGGCGCUCCCUGCUUUUCCUGCCGACCCUGGGCUUUGAAGGAAAAUGGAUGAACAAACGGUGGCAUGUCUAUACAACAGAACCCAACCCGGAAUACAGAGGCACGCACUGUGGGCGCCCGCGUCCCGAGUGGACCUCACAUCCGCGCCGCCGAGAGCCCGGGCUGGAGGGCGCACAGGAGCGGUGGCCGGUGGGGGAGGAGGGAACUGCCUGGGAAUGAGCCUGGGGGGAUUUUCUGGAGGUGAUGGACACACUCUGCUCGUCAAAGGGGCGAGGUACGCACGGGUGUGUGUACUUCUCACAGCCUUGGUGCCUUUCAAUGUGUGUACCUCUAAACUGAAAAAAAAAAAACUGAAAAAGAAAAGCGAGGGGUGGGUUGUCACUGGCGGUAUCAGUGAAACAAAAAUGGCAGAUAGUUAGUAGUCCCCGAAGCUGGGUGACAGACCUGAGAUGGCAUUUUGUUAUUUUGUAAAUGCUUACAAUUUUCUGUAAUAAAAUGCUUUUAUGAAAAGACAAAAUUGGUCCACAGUGUCAGCCACAGAGAUGCUGGUUGCCUUGUAGAGGAAGAAAGUGAUGUCUGGGGUGGGGGGUGGACCACACGAAGCUGGUGUAGCUCCUGGCUACACAGGUGUGUUCGCUCCACAAUAAUACAUCCUAAGUGAUUCCAGCAUGUACUUCUGUAUGCAUGUUAUACGUCAAUAAAAAUUUAAAUGUUACAAUA